rnacentral:rRNA from 1 species
AGAGUUUGAUCAUGGCUCAGGAUGAACGCUGGCGGCGUGCCUAACACAUGCAAGUCGAGCGAGAAAUUUAUAAACGAAACUUCGGUCUAGUGAAUAAAUGGAAAGCGGCGGACGGGUGAGUAACGCGUAGGCAACCUGCCCCUUACAGAGGGAUAGCCUCGGGAAACCGGGAUUAAAACCUCAUAACGCAAUUCAAACACAUGUUUGAGAUGCCAAAGAUUUAUCGGUAAGGGAUGGGCCUGCGUCUGAUUAGUUAGUUGGUGGGGUAACGGCCUACCAAGGCGACGAUCAGUAGCCGACCUGAGAGGGUAAUCGGCCACAUUGGAACUGAGACACGGUCCAAACUCCUACGGGAGGCAGCAGUGGGGAAUAUUGCACAAUGGGCGAAAGCCUGAUGCAGCAACGCCGCGUGAGCGAAGAAGGCCUUUGGGUCGUAAAGCUCUGUUGGAAGGGAAGAAACAAAUGACGGUACCUUCUGAGGAAGCCCCGGCUAACUACGUGCCAGCAGCCGCGGUAAUACGUAGGGGGCAAGCGUUAUCCGGAAUUAUUGGGCGUAAAGAGUGCGUAGGUGGUCUUGUAAGCGUGGGGUGAAAGGCAGUGGCUUAACCAUUGUAAGCCCUGCGAACUGUGAGACUUGAGUGCAGGAGAGGAAAGCGGAAUUCCUAGUGUAGCGGUGAAAUGCGUAGAUAUUAGGAGGAACACCAGUGGCGAAGGCGGCUUUCUGGACUGUAACUGACACUGAGGCACGAAAGCGUGGGGAGCAAACAGGAUUAGAUACCCUAGUAGUCC